GGAUGUUGACUGCACCAGCCAGGUACACCAAGUGGUGAUUUUAAAAACUAAGUGCCGGUCCUGCCGGAGAACAACACCUGAAAGUAGGGCUGGGAGAUUUAAGGAAAAGAGAGAGAGAGAGAGAGAUAGCGGGCUCAGGAGGACUACCCCAUCUCAGGUGAGUAGCAACUUCAUUUCUUCAGUUGCCUUGCCCCAUGGCGAUGUGGAGGGAGGAAUCUGGCAGUAGAUCAAUGGGACCAGACCUAGAACCCACUGCACGUGACAAACAGAUGAGGAACCUUUAGGAUCCAUGAAAGAACGUAUCUGAGCUAGCAUCCUAGAAGAUGAGACAUGUCCAGGAGAGUCAUGGACAGAUGUCCCAGCUGAAGCCCCAUACAUAGGAGACAGUCUAGCCAAGAUCAGUAAAUCCACCUAGCAGACCGACAACUGACCACAGACACAUGAGAGAGCCCUUCCAAGCCCAGCUCAGAUCUGCAGAACCAUCCAGCUGACCA